rnacentral:tRNA from 1 species
AGGGAUAUAGCUCAGUAGUAGAGUGCAUGCUUAGCAUGCACGAGGUCCUGGGUUCAAUCCCCAAUAGCUUCA